rnacentral:rRNA from 1 species
GGAUAACAGUUAGAAAUGACUGCUAAUACCGCAUAAGACCACAGGACCGCAUGGUCCGGUGGUAAAAACUCCGGUGGUAUGAGAUGGACCCGCGUCUGAUUAGCUAGUUGGUAAGGUAACGGCUUACCAAGGCGACGAUCAGUAGCCGACCUGAGAGGGUGACCGGCCACAUUGGGACUGAGACACGGCCCAAACUCCUACGGGAGGCAGCAGUGGGGAAUAUUGCACAAUGGGGGAAACCCUGAUGCAGCGACGCCGCGUGAGCGAUGAAGUAUUUCGGUAUGUAAAGCUCUAUCAGCAGGGAAGAAAAUGACGGUACCUGACUAAGAAGCACCGGCUAAAUACGUGCCAGCAGCCGCGGUAAUACGUAUGGUGCAAGCGUUAUCCGGAUUUACUGGGUGUAAAGGGAGCGUAGACGGAGAGGCAAGUCUGAUGUGAAAACCCGGGGCUCAACCCCGGGACUGCAUUGGAAACUGUUUUUCUAGAGUGUCGGAGAGGUAAGUGGAAUUCCUAGUGUAGCGGUGAAAUGCGUAGAUAUUAGGAGGAACACCAGUGGCGAAGGCGGCUUACUGGACGAUGACUGACGUUGAGGCUCGAAAGCGUGGGGAGCAAACAGGAUUAGAUACCCUGGUAGUCCACGCCGUAAACGAUGACUGCUAGGUGUCGGGAGGCAAAGCCUUUCGGUGCCGCAG